AUUGAACGCUGGCGGCAGGCCUAACACAUGCAAGUCGAGCGGAUGAGAGGAGCUUGCUCCUCGAUUCAGCGGCGGACGGGUGAGUAAUGCCUAGGAAUCUGCCUAGUAGUGGGGGACAACGUUUCGAAAGGAACGCUAAUACCGCAUACGUCCUACGGGAGAAAGUGGGGGAUCUUCGGACCUAACGCUAUUAGAUGAGCCUAGGUCGGAUUAGCUAGUUGGUAGGGUAAAGGCCUACCAAGGCGACGAUCCGUAACUGGUCUGAGAGGAUGAUCAGUCACACUGGAACUGAGACACGGUCCAGACUCCUACGGGAGGCAGCAGUGGGGAAUAUUGGACAAUGGGCGAAAGCCUGAUCCAGCCAUGCCGCGUGUGUGAAGAAGGCCUUCGGGUCGUAAAGCACUUUAAGUUGGGAGGAAGGGCUCAUAGCGAAUACCUGUGAGUUUUGACGUUACCGACAGAAUAAGCACCGGCUAACUUCGUGCCAGCCGCCGCAGUAA
rnacentral:rRNA from 1 species